GACGAACGCUGGCGGCGUGCUUAACACAUGCAAGUCGAACGGAAAGGCCCUGCUUUUGUGGGGUGCUCGAGUGGCGAACGGGUGAGUAACACGUGAGUAACCUGCCCUUGACUUUGGGAUAACUUCAGGAAACUGGGGCUAAUACCGGAUAGGAGCUCCUGCUGCAUGGUGGGGGUCGGAAAGCUUCGGCGGUUGGGGAUGGACUCGCGGCUUAUCAGCUUGUUGGUGGGGUAGUGGCUUACCAAGGCUUUGACGGGUAGCCGGCCUGAGAGGGUGACCGGCCACAUUGGGACUGAGGUACGGCCCAGACUCCUACGGGAGGCAGCAGUGGGGAAUAUUGCACAAUGGGCGGAAGCCUGAUGCAGCAACGCCGCGUGCGGGAUGACGGCCUUCGGGUUGUAAACCGCUUUCGCCUGUGACGAAGCGUGAGUGACGGUAAUGGGUAAAGAAGCACCGGCUAACUACGUG
rnacentral:rRNA from 1 species